rnacentral:misc_RNA from 1 species
GAAGUUAUCAAAAGUAUUAUGGUGGUAAGUAGUAAAUACUCUCAGCGCCGUCUAUUUUAGCGUCUUCUAUUCUAGCUAACUUAGAUCACUAAAUAGUUGAGUCACUUAGGCAUCCCUGUAGUUUUGGAUCCUGUUAAUGGUUGAAAAAUACAGAAGCUGAGGCAAGCGAUUGUUUGUUGUCCUAUUUGAACUUUACUCUGAUCUUGCUAAUUUCAGACUUGAAGAACUCCAUUGACUUAAACCAAUGAAGAAUUAUGUCAUAAUUAUGCAUGAAUUUGCAUAUUUUAUAAAUAUUAGAAUUUUGGUCUCGAAGCUCUUUAGAAUUAAGGUGAACCACUAUUUAUUCUCCGAAAACCAAUAUUCAUUUUUGUUUGAAUUUUUGAAUUCAUACCUGAGCUUUUGUUAAAGUAGUAGGAGUGGUAGAC